GCCGGGGCUGGGGCGGGGAGCGCGGGGGAGGGCCCAGGUCUGAGGGAACCCCACCCGCAUCCGCGUUCGAGCAGGGACUACAUUUCCCGAGGGGCCUCGGCGGCGGCGGCGGCGGGCGCGGCAACGUCCCCCCGGAAGUGGAGCCUGGGACUUCCACUCGUGCGUGAGGCGAGCGGAGCCGGAGACUAGACCGGAGGCCGAACUUGGGAUCUGACAAGAUGGCCGGGCUGCCCCGCAGGAUCAUCAAGAUACUGUGCAGUAACAUGAAAGCCUUGAUGGAAAAAUAAAUUCUGUCUAACCUUGUUUAAAGUGAUAAUGACUUAAGGAAUCUUGUGAUGUAGACAAUACAGUUGAUAGUCUAAAACCCCAUUGAAAUCACUUUUGGCAAGAGGAAGAAUUUGGAUAUUGAUUCAGUAUGACCUUCCUCAGUCUCUUGUUAUUAUGAAAUGAAAUAAUGUAUGUAAGAGUACCUUGAGAUCUGUAAGUAACUAUACAAAUAUAAGAAUUACUAUUCAUCCAGUUGGAUUUCCGUUUUCAAUCCAGUAGCAAAUCCUGUAGGCUCCACUUUCAAAAUAUAUCCUGAAUCAGACUCAUUUCAUCAUCUUUCUGAAACCACUGUUCAAUUCCAUCAUUUGUUGCCUGGCCUACUAUAUCAGUUUCCUUUCGGCUUAAAAGGAAUUUAAAAAA